CCUACGGGGGGCAGCAGUCGAGAAUCAUUCACAAUGGGGGAAAGCCUGAUGGUGCGACGCCGCGUGGGGGAAUGAAGGUCUUCGGAUUGUAAACCCCUGUCAUGUGGGAGCAAAUUAAAAAGAUAGUACCACAAGAGGAAGAGACGGCUAACUCUGUGCCAGCAGCCGCGGUAAUACAGAGGUCUCAAGCGUUGUUCGGAAUCACUGGGCGUAAAGCGUGCGUAGGCUGUUUCGUAAGUCGUGUGUGAAAUGCGCGGGCUCAACCCGCGGACGGCACAUGAUACUGCGAGACUAGAGUAAGGGAGGGGGAAGCGGAAUUCUCGGUGUAGCGGUGAAAUGCGUAGAUAUCGAGAGGAACACUCGUGGCGAAGGCGGGUUCCUGGACAGUAACUGACGCUGAGGCACGAAAGCCAGGGGAGCGAAAGGGAUUAGAUACCCCAGUAGUC
rnacentral:rRNA from 1 species